rnacentral:lncRNA from 1 species
AGCUGUCCCCCCGGUGAUGCCUGCUGUGGUUCCCGUACAAACGCCUCCAAUGUUGAUGGCGGACGCUUACGCCAAAGACGCCAUUCUCGGCUGGUUUCGCGGGGAAUUCGCUGCUGCCAACGCCAUAAUUGAUGCGCUGUGCAGUCACCUGGCGCAGGUCAGCGGAAGCGGAGGAGCAGGAUCGGAAUAUGAUUCGGUUUUCGCUGCCAUACAUCGGAGGAGGCUGAACUGGAUCCCAGUGCUCCAGAUGCAGAAAUAUCAUUCGAUUGCUGACGUGGCGGUGGAACUAAGGCGAGUGACUGAGAGGAAAUUGAAUGAAAAGAAAUGUGAAAUUGAGAAGAAGAAUGAGGUAAUGUUGAAGGAGGUGUAUUUGGAUGAGAAAGAGAAAGUUGAUGAGAAAGUGAGGGAAAGUCUGGAAAGUGGUAUUGAUGACGGUGACGACGGCGGCGAGGUUGUUGAAGAGGAGGAUUCGCCUGAAAGUGAUAUAACUGAUUCAGGUAAGUAUAAUCUUUUAUCCUCAAAAAUAAUUACUUUCUAUACAAAGGAGCUUGCCUUUUGUCUUCUCUCAUAUUUAGUAAUUUGAAUGAGAAUUUUGAUCAGUCAGUAGCGAGUGAGCUUUUGAUGAUUUUGUUUGUGUUUGUUCUCGGAAAUCGUGAUCGGGACUGACAAUCGCUCACAAGUGAUUUUACAUUAAUUUUUCUAAUUUUUCUAAAUCGCGUCCUUUUUUAAAAAUGAUUUGCUAAAUAUGAGAAAUAGUUUUUAUUUAAUUUCGUUAUUUUUUUCAUCGCAAACAAUGUGUUUGGAAUACUUCUUAAUUAUUUGUUUUUGUUUUUGUCUUUUUCCUUUGUUUUCAAUAAAAUAUUACAAAUUAAAUUAAUUGUAUUGUUUGGUAGCCUAGAAAAUAAAAGUCCGGGCAAUUUAAAUAUAUGAAUCCCUGAUCUUUUAUAUUAUAGUAUUUUUUAAAAUUAUGGAAACGAUCAUCAGUUUUAAUUGUUUUUUAAAAAAAAACGUGACAAAAAACAGUUAAUUAUUUUGGAGGCCUAUUUUAGUAAAUUGACUUCCAGCUUCCCCAAAAGCUCUAACUCUCAAAGUUUCACAACCGGUUUUGGUUCUACAUGCACCAAAGGACCUAACCAUCUUUCUUUAGCGGCCAACCAACCAAACCUUCAGUUCUGUUUGGCCACGUCAGAGCCUCUCCCAAUUUGCCAUGUCAGCACCUGGUCCCAACUUAUGUACGGACGUGCCUCUCUCAUAUAUACUCCUCGUUUCAUCAACCAAAAACCUUCCCAUGUGUGACCCCUUUGAUUUCACCUGCCUCUCUCUCUUCGUAUUUUUUCUUCCUUGCUCCCCGAUAUUCUCAGCCGAUAUCUCGCCCGGAAGGUAACAGUCCACACUCUGAACGCCGGUGUUUCGGAGUUUUAAGAGGUGAAAUACUACGUAACAUAGAAGAAUUAGUCCACCUUACUUAUCACUGAUGCCGAUGGCGGCUGGGCCAGCAUCGCCGACGGAUCGAGCUGUCCCCCCGGUGAUGCCUGCUGUGGUUCCCGUACAAACGCCUCCAAUGUUGAUGGCGGACGCUUACGCCAAAGACGCCAUUCUCGGCUGGUUUCGCGGGGAAUUCGCUGCUGCCAACGCCAUAAUUGAUGCGCUGUGCAGUCACCUGGCGCAGGUCAGCGGAAGCGGAGGAGCAGGAUCGGAAUAUGAUUCGGUUUUCGCUGCCAUACAUCGGAGGAGGCUGAACUGGAUCCCAGUGCUCCAGAUGCAGAAAUAUCAUUCGAUUGCUGACGUGGCGGUGGAACUAAGGCGAGUGACUGAGAGGAAAUUGAAUGAAAAGAAAUGUGAAAUUGAGAAGAAGAAUGAGGU